rnacentral:rRNA from 1 species
UACGAAGGGGGCUAGCGUUGCUCGGAAUCACUGGGCGUAAAGGGUGCGUAGGCGGGUCUUUAAGUCAGGGGUGAAAUCCUGGAGCUCAACUCCAGAACUGCCUUUGAUACUGAAGAUCUUGAGUCCGGGAGAGGUGAGUGGAACUGCGAGUGUAGAGGUGAAAUUCGUAGAUAUUCACAAGAACACCAGUGGCGAAGGCGGCUCACUGGCCCGGUACUGACGCUGAGGUGCGAAAGCGUGGGGAGCAAACAGG